AUCUUAUUCCUGGUAGUCCCAGUGGUUCUUAAAAGUGAUAGGGCAAGGGGGAAUGAAUUCACAAAGAUAUAUGACAGAGUUACGUGGGAUAUUGGCAAGAAAACUCUCCCUUGUGAGAGCAGUGAGGCCCUGGCACAGGUUGCCCAGAGAAUCUGUGGCUGCCCCAUUGCUGGCAAUGUUCUAAGAUCGGAUCUAGUGGAGCUGAUCUAGUGGAAGGUGCCUGCUGAUGGCAGAGGGUGGAACUAGAUGGGCUUUAAAUGCCCUUUCAACCCAAAACAUUCCGUGAUUCCACGAUAAAACACGGAGAUGGAUGUGAGCCUUCACUCACAGAAUGUGCAAGAGCAGGGAUGAUCUUGAGCGGGUGCCUUGUGAAGGUUUUGGGUGGUCAAUUCUAUGUGCAGGGACCAUAGGACUUUCUAACAGUAGAAAAUUAACUAUUUCUGCUCUUUUAAGCCAUGAACUUGAAGUCAGAUAUUCUUGUCAUGGUACUGCUUUCAAUCGUGCUGUAAAAAUAGUUUUUUGAGGUUCUUGCAUGGAGUUUUUAUCUGAACAUAAAUAGCAUGAAGGAUUGCUCCAGGGAGGAAAAAAUACUUUUGGCUCCUUCUUUUUAAGAGCUGGGCUGUUGCCUGUGCUUAGGGCGUUCUGGUAGAUCUUUUUUUGCAGAAUUUCUGGUUUAUUCUGUGAGUAACUCUGGCCAUUAAUCAAGAAGUACAUAAAUUAACAUUGUGGGAUUUUGUUUUUUAAAAUUGUAUUAAGGCACUUCUACAGCCUGUGUUUAGACACGCACAGAGCUAUGCUGUGAAGGAUCCAGGCACAAACAGCAAAUUUUGGCAUCAAUUUGGAAAGUAAUGCAAUAGAGAUUUCCAAAGGUGUUCCAAGUCAAAGGAAUGGCUGGGCACAAGUGGUUUGAGCUUGGCAGGAUUCCCAGCAGGACCAGUGCAAGAUCUCCAGGUGUGGAGAUUUUAAAUUUUAGUCCUACAUUAGUAACAAUUCCACAGCUGGAAGUUUUAUUGAAAUCUCCCUGAGAAGGAUUGUAGGAGCAAAUUGCUUGAAAUGGCAGGGUUUAGGAUGGGUCCAGGGAAUGAAGAAACAGAUGAUGAGAGGAUCAAGGAGAAGACGAGUUUAUUAAAACUCAGAAUAUGAUAGCAGAGGUACAAAAAUUACAUUACUGAGCAUAAUGGGGAAUUAAAACAAUCCAGAUGUUGCAGACUAUGAUGAACUAUGGGAAGAAAUACAUCCUAAGGAUUGAGGCAACGUGAGGACAGCCAGCCACUGUAGCUGCAAACAUGAUUUUAAUAACUCAGGAAAGGCACAAAGGAGCAGUCUGGGAAGUGUCUGCCCUUCAUCUGUGCACACGGAGAUGCCUGCCUGCAAAUGGAGGUGCUGAACCAGUCUCCAGUGCUCAGAACAUCUCCCAUGUUCUGCAUUUGGGGAAUGAGGAACAAACAGAUUUGAAGGAUGGACAGACAAUCCAGUCAACUCUUCUGUGCAGACUGUGAAUUCUGCUUCUGCAACGGCAGGGACAAGAAUGAACUCAGUAGAUUUUGGAUCUGACAAAGUGGGCAGUUUUUGUGCUCUUCCUUGAGCUGCUUUGGCCUGAAUCCUAAUUGAUGUCUGUGAUGCUGUUUUGGAGUUUGGAAAGAUUAUUGAAAUAGGAACUGUAGUACCUGUGUCCUUGGCUGAUCAAACAAAGCAAUGCUAGAAGUGUCCAAUG